rnacentral:rRNA from 1 species
AGCUCCAAUAGCGUAUAUUAAAGUUGCUGCAGUUAAAAAGCUCGUAGUUGCAUUUCCGAGGCAAGGGAUUAGUCCGACCUUUGGUGGGUAUUUAAUCCUCUUGCCUCGUCCUUGAGUGGUGCUUCUUGGUAUUAAGUUAUCGAGGAGAUAGCCGCUCAUCGUUUACUGUGAGAAAAUUAGAGUGUUCAAAGCAGGCUUAUGCCGUUGAAUAUAUUAGCAUGGAAUAAUAAGAUAGGACCUCGGUACUAUUUUGUUGGUUUGAGAACCAAGGUAAUGAUGAAUAUGGACAGUUGGGAGUAUUCGUAUUCAGUUGUCAGAGGUGAAAUUCUUAGAUUUACGGAAGACGAACUACUGCGAAAGCAUUUACCAAGGAUCUUUUCA